AUUGAACGCUGGCGGCGUGCCUAAUACAUGCACGUAGGACGAGUUGCGAACGGGUGAGUAAAGCGUGGUAACCUGCCUAUUAGAGGGGGGUAACUAUUGGAAACGGUAGAUAAUACCGCAUACCAUCGGAUGUGCCCAGAUGGGAUUAGCUAGUAGGUGGGGGAAAGGCUCACUUAGGCGACGAUCCCUAGCUGGUCUGAGAGAGUAACCAGCCACCCUGGAACUGGGACACGGUCCAGACUCCUACGGGAGGCAGCAGUGGGGAAUAUUGCACAAUGGUCGCAAGCCUGAUGCAGCCAUGCCGCUUGUAGGAAGAAGGCUUUCGGGUUGUAAAGUACUUUCAGCGGGGAGGCGUUACCCGCAGAAGAAGCACCGGCUAACUCCGUGCCAGCAGCCGCGGUAAUUC
rnacentral:rRNA from 1 species